GACGAACGCUGGCGGCGUGCUUAACACAUGCAAGUCGAACGGAAAGGCCCUGCUUUUGUGGGGUGCUCGAGUGGCGAACGGGUGAGUAACACGUGAGUAACCUGCCCUUGACUUUGGGAUAACUUCAGGAAACUGGGGCUAAUACCGGAUAGGAGCUCCUGCUGCAUGGUGGUGGUUGGAAAGUUUCGGCGGUUGGGGAUGGACUCGCGGCUUAUCAGCUUGUUGGGGGGGUAGUGGCUUACCAAGGCUUUGACGGGUAGCCGGCCUGAGAGGGUGACCGGCCACAUUGGGACUGAGAUACGGACCAGACUGCUACGGGAGGCAGCAGUGGGGAAUAUUGCACAAUGGGCGGAAGCCUGAUGCAGCAACGCCGCGUGCGGGAUGACGGCCUUCGGGUUGUAAACCGCUUUCGCCUGUGACGAAGCGUGAGUGACGGUAAUGGGUAAAGAAGCACCGGCUAACUACGUG
rnacentral:rRNA from 1 species